rnacentral:rRNA from 1 species
UAGGGAAUAUUGGACAAUGGGCGCAAGCCUGAACCAGCCAUGCCGCGUGCAGGAAGAAGGCCUUCUGGGUUGUAAACUGCUUUUGUCAGGGGAUAAAAUGACCGUGCGCGGUUAAUUGAAGGUACCUGAUGAAUAAGCCACGGCUAACUACGUGCCAGCAGCCGCGGUAAUACGUAGGUGGCAAGCGUUGUCCGGAUUUAUUGGGUUUAAAGGGUGCGUAGGCGGUCUAUUAAGUCAGUGGUGAAAUAUGGCAGCUCAACUGUCAAGGUGCCAUUGAUACUGAUGGACUUGAGUGAAGUCGAAGUAGGCGGAAUUGACGGUGUAGCGGUGAAAUGCUUAGAUAUCGUCAAGAACACCGAUAGUGAAGACAGCUUACUAGGCUUAUACUGACGCUGAGGCACGAAAGUGUGGAGAUCAAA